AGAGUUUGAUCAUGGCUCAGGAUGAACGCUAGCGGCAGGCUUAACACAUGCAAGUCGAGGGGUAACGGGGAAGCUUGCUUCCGCCGACGACCGGCGCACGGGUGCGUAACGCGUAUACAAUCUACCUUAUACUGGGGUAUAGCCUUUAGAAAUGAAGAUUAACCCCCCAUAGUCUCUUAGAGUGGCAUCACUUCUAGAGUAAAGGUUACGGUAUAAGAUGAGUAUGCGUUCUAUUAGUUUGUUGGUGUGGUAACGGCACACCAAGACUACGAUAGAUAGGGGCCCUGAGAGGGGGAUCCCCCACACUGGUACUGAGACACGGACCAGACUCCUACGGGAGGCAGCAGUGAGGAAUAUUGGACAAUGGAGGCAACUCUGAUCCAGCCAUGCCGCGUGCAGGAAGACUGCCCUAUGGGUUGUAAACUGCUUUUAUACAGGAAGAAACACCUCUACGUGUAGAGGCUUGACGGUACUGUAAGAAUAAGGAUCGGCUAACUCCGUGCCAGCAGCCGCGGUAAUACGGAGGAUCCAAGCGUUAUCCGGAAUCAUUGGGUUUAAAGGGUCCGUAGGUGGAUAAUUAAGUCAGAGGUGAAAUCUUGCAGCUCAACUGUAAAAUUGCCUUUGAAACUGGUUAUCUUGAGUUAUUAUGAAGUAGUUAGAAUAUGUAGUGUAGCGGUGAAAUGCAUAGAUAUUACAUAGAAUACCAAUUGCGAAGGCAGAUUACUAAUAAUCAACUGACACUGAUGGACGAAAGCGUGGGUAGCGAACAGGAUUAGAUACCCUGGUAGUCCACGCCGUAAACGAUGGUUACUAGCUGUUUGGACUUCGGUCUGAGUGGCUAAGCGAAAGUGAUAAGUAACCCACCUGGGGAGUACGUUCGCAAGAAUGAAACUCAAAGGAAUUGACGGGGGCCCGCACAAGCGGUGGAGCAUGUGGUUUAAUUCGAUGAUACGCGAGGAACCUUACCAGGGCUUAAAUGUAAGUUGCAUUAGUUAGAGAUAGCUAUUUCUUCGGACCACUUACAAGGUGCUGCAUGGUUGUCGUCAGCUCGUGCCGUGAGGUGUCAGGUUAAGUCCUAUAACGAGCGCAACCCCUGUUGUUAGUUGCCAGCGAGUCAUGUCGGGAACUCUAACAAGACUGCCAGUGCAAACUGUGAGGAAGGUGGGGAUGACGUCAAAUCAUCACGGCCCUUACGUCCUGGGCUACACACGUGCUACAAUGGUAGGUACAGAGAGCAGCCACUGCGCGAGCAGGAGCGAAUCUAUAAAACCUAUCACAGUUCGGAUCGGAGUCUGCAACUCGACUCCGUGAAGCUGGAAUCGCUAGUAAUCGGAUAUCAGCCAUGAUCCGGUGAAUACGUUCCCGGGCCUUGUACACACCGCCCGUCAAGCCAUGGAAGUUGGAAGUCCCUGAAGUCCGU
rnacentral:rRNA from 1 species